UACGGAGGGGGCUAGCGUUGUUCGGAAUUACUGGGCGUAAAGCGCACGUAGGCGGCUUUGCAAGUUAGAGGUGAAAGCCCGGGGCUCAACUGCGGAACUGCCUUUGAUACUGCAUCGCUUGAAUCCAGGAGAGGUGAGUGGAAUUCCGAGUGUAGAGGUGAAAUUCGUAGAUAUUCGGAAGAACACCAGUGGCGAAGGCGGCUCACUGGACUGGUAUUGACGCUGAGGUGCGAAAGCGUGGGGAGCAAACAGG
rnacentral:rRNA from 1 species